UGCUGGGGUACACGAGUGGCGAACGGGUGAGUAACACGUGGGUGACCUGCCCUGCACUUCGGGAUAAGCCUGGGAAACUGGGUCUAAUACCGGAUAGGACCGCACCGUGAGGGUGUGGUGGAAAGUUUUUUCGGUGUGGGAUGGGCCCGCGGCCUAUCAGCUUGUUGGUGGGGUAAUGGCCUACCAAGGCGGCGACGGGUAGCCGGCCUGAGAGGGUGGACGGCCACAUUGGGACUGAGACACGGCCCAGACUCCUACGGGAGGCAGCAGUGGGGAAUAUUGCACAAUGGGCGGAAGCCUGAUGCAGCGACGCCGCGUGGGGGAUGACGGCCUUCGGGUUGUAAACUCCUUUCACCAUCGACGAAGGGUUUCUGACGGUAGAUGGAGAAGAAGCACCGGCUAACUACGUGCCAGCAGCCGCGGUAAUACGUAGGGUGCGAGCGUUGUCCGGAAUUACUGGGCGUAAAGAGCUCGUAGGUGGUUUGUCGCGUCGUCUGUGAAAUUCCGGGGCUUAACUCCGGGCGUGCAGGCGAUACGGGCAUAACUUGAGUACUGUAGGGGAGACUGGAAUUCCUGGUGUAGCGGUGAAAUGCGCAGAUAUCAGGAGGAACACCGGUGGCGAAGGCGGGUCUCUGGGCCAGUAACUGACGCUGAGGAGCGAAGGCAUGGGGAGCGAACAGGAUUAGAUACCCUGGUAGUCCAUGCCGUAAACGGUGGGCGCUAGGUGUGGGUUUCCUUCCACGGGAUCCGUGCCGUAGCUAACGCAUUAAGCGCCCCGCCUGGGGAGUACGCCGCAAGGUAA
rnacentral:rRNA from 1 species